GCUAAUAUUUUUAAAUUGUGAUUUCCGGUAUUUUCUUAAUUUCUGUUUGGGCGUUGAGAAAAUGAAGGAAACGAGAGGAAAUUUGAAGAAUUAGCACGUUAUUUCUGUUCGAUUUACCUGAUAGUGUUAUGAUCAAAUGGAUUCGGUGCUGUCUCACUUACGUUUUAAAAAACUAGGUCACUGAAUACGAUUAAUUUAUAGAAUUUAUAGUGUUCUUGUUGCGAAGAAGAU
rnacentral:misc_RNA from 1 species